rnacentral:rRNA from 1 species
CCUACGGGAGGCAGCAGUGAGGAAUAUUGGUCAAUGGACGAGAGUCUGAACCAGCCAAGUAGCGUGAAGGAUGACUGCCCUAUGGGUUGUAAACUUCUUUUAUAUGGGAAUAAAAUGUUCCACGUGUGGGAUUUUGUAUGUAACAUAUGAAUAAGGAUAGGCCAACUCCGUGCCAGCAGCCGCGGUAAUACGGAGGAUUCGAGCGUUAUCCGGAUUUAUUGGGUUUAAAGGGAGCGUAGGUGGAUUGUUAAGUCAGUUGUGAAAGUUUGCGGCUCAACCGUAAAAUUGCAGUUGAAACUGGCAGUCUUGAGUACAGUAGAGGUGGGCGGAAUUCGUGGUGUAGCGGUGAAAUGCUUAGAUAUCACGAAGAACUCCGAUUGCGAAGGCAGUUCACUGGACUGCAACUGACACUGAGGCUCGAAAGUGUGGGUAUCAAACAGGAUUAGAUACCCCAGUAGUC